GACGAACGCUGGCGGCGUGCCUAAUACAUGCAAGUCGAGCGAAGUUUUUCUGGUGCUUGCACUAGAAAAACUUAGCGGCGCACGGGUGAGUAACACGUAAAGAACCUGCCUCAUAGACUGGGACAACUAUUGGAAACGAUAGCUAAUACCGGAUAACAGUAUUUCUCGCAUGAGAGAUAUUUAAAAGUUGGUUAUGCUAACACUAUGAGAUGGCUUUGCGGUGCAUUAGCUAGUUGGUGGGGUAAAGGCCCACCAAGGCGACGAUGCAUAGCCGACCUGAGAGGGUGAUCGGCCACACUGGGACUGAGACACGGCCCAGACUCCUACGGGAGGCAGCAGUAGGGAAUCUUCCGCAAUGGGCGAAAGCCUGACGGAGCAACGCCGCGUGAGUGAAGAAGGAUUUCGGUUCGUAAAGCUCUGUUGUUAGGGAAGAAUGGAAAUGUAGUAACUAUACAUGUAAGAGACGGUACCUAACCAGAAAGCCACGGCUAACUACGUG
rnacentral:rRNA from 1 species